AACCAGACGGAAGCGAUGCGGGAGGGCAUGCCCAGGAUGAAAACCUGGGCCACAGAGCAGAUGAGCUGGCCCACCACGGUGACCGGAAAGAGAUGCGGCUUCAGGCUGCCCAGCUUCACCCAGGCCCCCAGGCAGUUGAGAGCCGAGCCAGUGAGAGCAAUGGUGCGCAGGCCGAACUUCUCCAGCAGCCAAGCCACUGGCAGGAGCAGAGGGAUGUAAGUCAGCAUGUAGCACAUGGACAGCCAGUCAAUGGCAAAGGCACUGACACCGUAGAAGUGCAUGAAGAUGUUAUUGAUGGAGCCGUACUGGAUCCACUGAAAGGAGUUGCACAUGGAGUAGCAGCUAAACACCAGGACCACGGCCCAACGGCGCCUGCUCACCUUGAUCACGCUGAGGUCCUCAGGGCCCGAGCUACUGGGGUGAGCCAAGCCACUGGGUUGGGCUAAGGCACUGGGGUGGGCCGAACUGCUGGGGUGGACAGAGACGCUGGGGUUGAUGGAGACGCUGGGAUGGACCGAGACGCUGGGAUGGACCGAGACGCUGGGGUCCGCUUGGAGUGCGGACUCCGGCACAGGGGUGUCAUCGCUCUCUUCCUGGUUGGGACCUUCAUUCACCAUCGCCACAGUCUCCUCUGGAAUCCUGGAGAAGUGGUGAGGACUCCGGCAGUCUUAAGGGACAGUGGCCUCUGCUGGUCUCUUAGAGUUGAAAGGACACUUGCCUAUUCCAGAAGAAACAGAGACUAGAGGCUGCGUAAAAGCCUCAAGUGGGGCUUCCUGUGCUCACCUCCAAGCUCCUGCUCCCACUUUUGCUUGGGGCUCUCUGUUGCCACCCGCGGCGAUCGCUGUCCCAAGGCCGGCCGCACACGCCGCAGCCGGCUCCGGACCGCUCCUGCCUUGGGUCUCCCCACGAGGCGUUCCUUGUGCAGGAAAAGUUCUCUCCUUGCGCAGCCACUUCGCCCGCAGAGUCCUCUCCCGGGCCAGCUUGGGGCCUCGCCCAGUCGGGCACACGUGACCGCCCCGCCCCCGUCCUGCCUGGCUUCUUCCGCCCCCAACCCCCCCGCCACCACUCCACCCCCGACCCAGUGUCUCUUGCCUUCUCGAGCCCGGUCCUCCGGGCAGAGCAGUUGUUUCGCCACAGCUUGCGGGAUGCAUUCCUCCCCCACGCCCCGGGCGCCAUGGAAACCGCCCGGUUAACCCCCACCCUUUGCACUGCCCCUCAUAUUCAUUUGCCACCCGCUAUCAGCGGACCCUGCAAGAAGAUCCGCCUUCCCGAAGUAAUGCCCAAAAUAGAGCCUCUCCGGUGCCUGUCCGCAUGCCCUGCGCGCGUGCACCAAAGCCCGGCGCCACCUAAGUGUUCUGGGGAAUUCAAGAGGGAUUCCCCAACUUUCUCCCCCUUGGCUUAGGCUCCCAGCCCUUUGCUGAACUAAAGAGAGAUUUGUAGAUUUCCCGGGCUGGUUGCGCUCCUGGGUUAAAGGGGAGUUACAGAAAACUCGCUUUACUCGCUUCUUUCCCUGCGGACGUGGUUUUGUCUUGGGGAGGUUAGAUUUGAACCUGUUAUGUGGGGCUAUUUUUCCUGAUGGAUUCUGGGCGAAGACCCUAGGGUGCGGGGGAGGGAAAGGAGAGUUUGAAGAAGCCGAAGAAGCUGUCCGCGGUUGUGUGAUGGAACGCUUAGCACAGAGCUGGCUCCGGGCUUGGUCUUGGAAGCGGUCUUUGAACUCAAGCAGCCCUAGUCUGCCACCUGCCGGUCCUAGCCCAUUUCAAAGGGCAAACCCUCGACUCGUUGCACUGACCUCUGUCCUUGGCGAGGGAUCCUGAUAAGGAAACUGAGGCCUGGAGAGGCGGGUGUGUUACUCAGCGUCCUAUAGUGAAAUAGCAUCAGAACAAGCAGCAAUAAAAUGGGUGCUCCUUCCACGUGGCCUUUCCCAUGAGCUCUUCUGGGGCAGCCCUUCAGCUUGAUUUCUAGCUGUCUCAGGACUUGUGGAUAUUUUUGUAUAUUUUGGAGUGUUUAGUGAGAUAAACUAUGUAACACACGCUCUCAAUACGUAUCUGUAGAAUUGAGUUGUACUGCAUAUCACCAUGAAAUUUUACAAAACUGGAGACAAAGAGGAGAUCCAACAGGAUUUCAGAGAUUUUAAAAAAUCAGAAAAAGUUAAAAAAAAAGUUAACGACUCAGUGUGCGCUCCUCAAGCUUAGAAAUGAUGGCCUAUUCAUCUUCAAAUCCCAACCUCUGUGACCUCUGUCACCACAAGAUCAAGAGG
rnacentral:lncRNA from 1 species